GCCGGAUUCUAUCAUCUCAGGCAAAUGGCUAGCUCUCUCCGACGACUAGCGACGCAUUCCUCUCAAGCCGCCUGGCGAUCUUCUGUGACGCCGCUAUGUAGACAAUUUGCGUCAGAAGCGUUGGUCGAAAUCAAGCCCGGAGAGAUCGGUAUGGUCUCUGGUAUUCCAGAUGAACAUCUUCGUAGAAGGGUUGUGAUUUUCUCUCCUGCUCGGACUGCUAGUCAACAAGGCUCUGGAAAAGUUGGCAGAUGGAAAAUCAAUUUCAUGUCUACCCAGAAAUGGGAGAAUCCAUUGAUGGGGUGGACAUCCACAGGGGAUCCAUAUGCCAAUGUUGGUGAUUCAGCACUUAGUUUUGAGAGUGAAGAAGCUGCAAAAGCAUUCGCUGAAAAGCAUGGUUGGGAAUAUACGGUGAAGAAACGACACACACCAUUGUUAAAGAUCAAGUCAUAUGCGGACAACUUUAAGUGGAAGGGACCUCCCAAGGCAGCAGAAUAAUUUAUUUUCUACUUCAAUUCAAGUACUUGAGGUGCUUGUGGAUGUUCUACCUAAUGCCCUGCAUUCUGUUUUCUUUUUUUUUUUACCUUCUCUAAAGUUGGGCAGAUCUCCUUCUUGAAGGAUUUAAUAAAUCAAACUUAUGAAAAUCCACAAGUACAUGCAAUGUCUUAAAACCUUUGUGAAGCAAUUUCCGGGUGUUUCUGUACUUGUGGGACAUUGUGUCGUGUCAAAACACUAGUAGCCUUGUUUUUCUCUCCAAAAGAAAUUAGCGUGUCAAAAUACUUACGAACUGUGAUUGUCGGUUGAGUUUGUUUCUUGUUCAAGUACAGAAACCACACUUCUUCUAGUGUACCAGUCAUAUGACGCUCUACAUAUAGACACGAAUUCAAACUAGUUUUAA
rnacentral:misc_RNA from 1 species